GUCCACGCCGUAAACGAUGGUCACUAGGUGUGGGAGGUGUCGACUCCUCCCGUGCCGUCGCUAACGCAUUAAGUGCCCCGCCUGGGGAGUACGGCCGCAAGGCUAAAACUCAAAGGAAUUGACGGGGGCCCGCACAAGCAGCGGAGCAUGUGGUUUAAUUCGACGCAACGCGAAGAACCUUACCUGGGCUUGACAUGUCGGUGACAGGUGUGGAAACACACUCUCCCUUCGGGGCACUGUCACAGGUGGUGCAUGGCUGUCGU
rnacentral:rRNA from 1 species